rnacentral:rRNA from 1 species
UAAGGAAUAUUGGUCAAUGGAGGAAACUCUGAACCAGCCAUGCCGCGUGCAGGAAGAAUGCCCUCUGGGUUGUAAACUGCUUUUAUCUGUGAAUAAACCUUUCUACGUGUAGGAAGCUGAAUGUAGCAGAGGAAUAAGGAUCGGCUAACUCCGUGCCAGCAGCCGCGGUAAUACGGAGGAUCCAAGCGUUAUCCGGAUUUAUUGGGUUUAAAGGGUGCGUAGGCGGCCUAUUAAGUCAGGGGUGAAAGACGGUGGCUCAACCAUCGCAGUGCCCUUGAAACUGAUGGGCUUGAAUGUACUUGAGGUAGGCGGAAUGUGACAAGUAGCGGUGAAAUGCAUAGAUAUGUCACAGAACACCGAUUGCGAAGGCAGCUUACUAAGGUAUGAUUGACGCUGAGGCACGAAAGCGUGGGGAUCAAACAGG